AUGUCACGUUGAAACACCUGUUCCUGUAAGAUCAUCGAAGUUAAGUAACGUCGAGCCUAAUCAGUACCUAGAUGGGUGACCGCUUGGAAAUGCCAGAUGCUGUAA